CCUACGGGUGGCAGCAGUGAGGAAUAUUGGUCAAUGGCCGUAAGGCUGAACCAGCCAAGUAGCGUGCGGGAAGACGGCCCUAUGGGUUGUAAACCUCUUUUGUGCGAGGGUAAAGGCAUAUACGCGUGUCUGUUUGAAGGUACCGCACGAAUAAGGACCGGCUAAUUCCGUGCCAGCAGCCGCGGUAAUACGGAGGAUCCAGGCGUUAUCCGGAUUUAUUGGGUUUAAAGGGAGCGUAGGCGGGUCUUUAAGCUCGCCGUGAAAUUUUGGGGCUCAACCAGGGGAGUGCGGCGAGUACUGGAGACCUUGAGAGCGCGGAAGGCAGGCGGAAUUCGUGGUGUAGCGGUGAAAUGCUUAGAGAUCACGAAGAACCCCGAUUGCGAAGGCAGCCUGCCGAAGCAUUACUGACGCUGAAGCACGAAAGCGCGGGUAGCGAACAGGAUUAGAUACCCUGGUAGUC
rnacentral:rRNA from 1 species